UGAGAAUUAUAACCUUCUAUUCGUGAGAAGAUAAUUUAUUUGCACUGUGUUUCGAACAGACACCAUAAACCUCCACACCCCUAAAUCCGAAGCUGAAGCCUACUCUCUCUCUAGAAGGACUCGGAGGACGAAGGAGAGAGACUCAGCAAUGGCCAAGUCCUACCACUCCAGGUACGCCCGGAACGAAUCCAACAUGCACUCCGACGCCACGAUCAGAGAUUAAGCGUAGGGUUUGAUGUUUUGUGUUAUUUCUGUUUCUACGAGUUCAGAAUUCAUCCCAAAUUUGCAGCAUUGUUGUUAUUGAGUACAGUUGUAUCCAUCUUUUGAACUUAGUUUAUGAGGUUUUGGUCGAUUUGAGUUGAAUUUUGUAUCUCAUAGAAACUAAAACAGCGCAUAUCGAACCCAGAAUUUCAAUUUCUACUCUUUUUCCUCCUUUUUUUCCCUUCUCAUUACGGCCCCGUUUUUGUCUGAACUUUUUCCAUUUCCCCUCAAACUUUUGUACUUUCGUCCCGAUUAGUGGAAUCAAAAAACUAAAAACACACACACUAAAAUCCAAAUUAUUUCAACAUAAAAUCCAAAAUAAUCCAAUUUUGGAUUAAUCUGGAUUUUAGUAGUUUUUUGGUUAAUCCAAAAUAAUCCAAUUUUGGAUUUUAAUCUGAAUCAGAAAAAUAAGAAAUCUUGACCAAAAAUAUGAAGAAAAAAAAUACAAAAAUAAUCUGAAAUAAUGCAAUUUAUCCCAAACUGGGCCAAUAUUUCGUGUUGUCAAUUGCCCAUAAUUUGGAACGAUUAGUAUUUGAAUUACUCAGCUUUAAUGGGUGUCCUAUUCAUCAGUUAUAUUUUAUAGUUGUAUGAUUUGGCCAUCUCAUUUCAUGUUGGAAUAUUGAUUUGGUUUUGUAGGUUGAUUGGUUUCUUUGUUAGCAUGGUAUGGUUUUGGUUAUGUUGUAGUUCUUGACAUAUUUUUGGAUUAUUGGUGUUGAACAUUUGGCAAGGUUAAAAACAGAAGAGGCUGCGUCUGCUACCAGGGUAGUUUUGGCUUUGUAAGUGAAUUAGGGUAGGGCAAAGUUUUAGACAUAAAUGCCUAAGAACAAAUAGGGCCGUUCAUUAGCCCAGUGGUCGGGUGUUUGAUGCGCCGCUCAUUAGGUCAUACCUCUGGUUAAUGUACUACUGUGAUGUUCUUCUCAUGAUAAGAAAAGCUUUGGGAAUUGUUGUUAACUGGCAUGGAAAAAAUGCCAACUCUUGCUCUGGUAGGCGAGCAAAUAGGUCUGCCCAAUAAAGAAGGGGCGUGAAAACCCAAUAAGCAUGCACAUGGGUGGAGCCGAAUGAAGCAAACGUAGUUUUCUUACAGAAAUAGGCCCGAAUGAAGUAGUUAAUACAAAAUAUAAGUUUUAGUACAAAAUGUUAAGUGUGGAGUACAAAGUAGAGGGGAAAUCUUAGAACAUAACUACGCCUUAAGCCACGGUUCCACGUACUCGGCGUGAUCCUCCGGUUCCGCCAGUUGCUUUGCUUCUACUUCCGUACCUGGCAUAAGACGCGAUGAGCUGCAACGCCCAUUAGGAAACCAAACCUACAAUCUGCCAUCCCAAACUAAACCCCAACUAGCAGACAAAGAAAAUUAACAAAAGAACAUAUGCAACACAUAAUAGUGAACUAUCGAGUGUGUCGAUGCAAGGCUCAAUUAUUAGAUCUAAGGGCUAUUUAACUAAGUAAUGACUAGGGUCUCCAACCCCGUGGAGUACAACUCCUACCAACCGCUGAGCAUGAGCAUCCAAGGCUGAUCGGUACCCCCAUUUGCAAGGCGAUGACCUCUCCCAGGGUUAUUACCAAAGUAGUGUCUUCCGUAUCACAAGUUUGUAGGCUACGUUGGUUCCCGCCAUGCCAGUCUACUUCUUCACAAAGGAGUUGGUUCCGGAUCGUGACACUAUACUCCUACAAGGUCCAACCAAACCCAUGCCACCUUAAGGUUCACAAUAAUGCGCACGAUUUCGAUACGAAGGUUGCGGGCUUGUUGUCAAAGUACCUCAGUACUUGACCACCAAGCUUACCCAAAAACCAUUGUUAUUCAAUUUAAAAUAAUUAUUCCAUAACCCAAUGUGUCGACCCGGGGCUCGCACAUGCAACGUGUCCGUGGUGUCACGUAUAAAACAUAACUUGCCCAAAUAAGCAAAUCCAAACGCGACAAGAUCUAAUUAAGGAUUUAAUCAUUGUCAAGCCAUUUUCUACAAUUGUACAACAUAUUUACUCACAAAAGUUGCAUGCACCCACAAAUUUAAGCAACUCAACACACUAGGCACAUAAAUCAUUAUUUAAUUACUUUGCAGAAGUUUUCAGCGUUCUGCAAGUACAAAUAAAAAUAGAAAAUCUAUACUUACACUUGUCCUAAAUUCACUAAACUUUACAGAGUUGUUAGAAGAGGUGCUAGGGUUCGCAUGAAUCUGACUUUGAAGCAAAAUCAUUUUCAGAGAAGGAUAAUUUGCCAUCUUAUCCUCGAAGGACCCAAAACUAACACAUUUUGAGAAAUGGUGUAUCUCGCUUGGUUCAAACUAUUUUUGUCCAAAAGUUAAAGACAUAAAUCUCACAUAUGCAAAUCCUAAAAUUAAAAAAUAAAUAAAUAAAUGAAAAUAGUCUCGUCCUACUCGUGUUUUCUAUUAUAAACUACUUUUUUUACCUAUUUGUUAGAUAUGUUAAAUAUCUUACGAUACUCGAUACUAUGCGAUACACGAUACACGAUAAAUAGGAAACGAUACACGAUACACAUCUCAAUUUGACAACUAUGGCGAGGAUGUAAUUUCCAGAAGUUCAAGGGUAUUAAUGGUAUAGCAAUAAACCUCAUGGGAGGUUAGUGAAAUAAAAGAAAACCUUUUCACUUAAUUGUUUUAAUACAAUAGGCAAAAAAAUGUUCUCUGAGCCUUCUAGCUUUAGCUUUACUAGUGUAGAAACCGAUUCUAUUUUUUUUUUUAUAGCAGCAAAACAUAUACUACAGUAACUACAUUAACCUUAAGUACUAUGUUAUGGCAGUAUCGAAUAUAAAACAUCCUGAAAAAACAUAGAGGCUCAAUCAAAAAACACAGAAGAACACUGAGAAGAAGAUGCAGAUUUAGCCAGUUUAUCCUCAACUCCAUUCACUUUUUGGCGACAAAUUUGUUGACAUAACCAACCAAGAAAGCCAAAACUUGAUACCCAAAGCUCCAAAUGAAAGUUCCACUCGUAUGUAUAAAGAGGUUUUGUUUAGCUUUUUACGAGUUGCGGAGGAAACAAAAAACGGAAGGGAAAAGAUAGGAAAGAAAAAUGAAGUGAGCGUGCUAAGUUUUUAUUUCCCUCUUCAGUUAUGUAACGGAAGGGAAAAGAUAGGAAAGAAAAAUGAAGGGAAAGUGCUACGUUUUUAUUUCCCUUUUCAGUUAUGUUAGGAAAAUGAGAAGAAAAUGAAUAAUAUUUGUUCAAAAUUGUGUUUGUUUAGUUGCUUGUAGAAGCAGAGUGGUUGACCUCUAAACAUUUCUGGUGAUAAAUCAUAGUUGUCCUUUCCUAACUCAAACAGUUUAAUAAAAAUGGGAACUAGUUUGGUUUUACAUUAUUUGAUUGUUACCUAUGAGUCAUGAACAAUAAAUACUUAUAAAUGCUGAAAAUUCAAUUGAUACAUAAAUGGUGAACAAAUUUUAUGCUGAAAAUUCAAAUGAUAUGUAAGUAACGAAUAAAUUAUAUGUGAAUCUUGUAAAUCUUAAUUAUGACAUGCCUUUGCUGCUUCUAGUUCUUAUACAAAGUUACGCAAUAUUCAAGCAUGGAUUCUCUCUAUUUGCAUAAUAUUUCUCCAACUCAAGAUUUACUGGCAACUCACCUGAACCAGAAGCAACUCUGUCAUUCAUCGAUGCAUGGAGAGCCAAAAGAUUUUCUUGUCUGAAUUUUGCACGCCAUUCAUCAAUGCUUGCAACUUGAUCAGUUGUCAGAUUUGGGAU
rnacentral:lncRNA from 1 species